AUUGAACGCUGGCGGCAUGCCUUACACAUGCAAGUCGAACGGCAGCACGGGAGCAAUCCUGGUGGCGAGUGGCGAACGGGUGAGUAAUAUAUCGGAACGUGCCCAGUCUGGGGGAUAACGUAGCGAAAGCUACGCUAAUACCGCAUACGAUCUAUGGAUGAAAGCGGGGGAUCGCAAGACCUCGCGCGAUUGGAGCGGCCGAUAUCAGAUUAGGUAGUUGGUGAGGUAAAGGCGUCACCAAGCCGACGAUCUGUAGCUGGUCUGAGAGGACGACCAGUCACACUGGGACUGAGACACGGCCCAGACUCCUACGGGAGGCAGCAGUGGGGAAUUUUUGGACAAUGGGCGCAAGCCUGAUCCAGCAAUGCCGCGUGCAGGAUGAAGGCCUUC
rnacentral:rRNA from 1 species